CCACCACUUGGCUCUAGCUUCCUGAGAUCAUGUAGUAGAAGAAAUAGAAGGAUGAAAAGAUAGAUGAACUUCAUUCUGUUAAGGAGAUCAAAAUCAAAUGUUCUUCUACAGUAUUUCAUCAUGAGGCAACACUGGGGUCUGCUGGAGCCAAUCCCAGCCAAC